UACGGAGGGUGCAAGCGUUAUCCGGAUUUACUGGGUUUAAAGGGUGCGUAGGUGGGUUGGGUAGUCAGUGGUGAAAUACUUUCGCUUAACGAAGGAACUGCCAUUGAUACUCCCAAUCUUGAAUACAGUGGAGGUGGGCGGAAUGCGCAGAUAUCAGGAGGAACACCGAUGGCGAAGGCAGGUCUCUGGGCCACUACUGACGCUGAGAAGCGAAAGCAUGGGGAGCGAACAGG
rnacentral:rRNA from 1 species